UACUCUAUCUGUCAGAGGAGAAGCUACUGCAGGCAUUUUGGCAGUGUUCAGGAUAGGCUUGGGUGUGACAGCCUCAAUUAGCUACCGAAUAGCACCAGAAGCAUCAACUACAGUCUGUGAUACUUCACCUAAAGGAGAUGCUACUGCUUGCUUUGAGGUAUACAGUAUUACUAAUGGAAGGAUCCGUCUUGCAGCUUUUUGGCAAAGGCGUAAGCUGAAGUGCUACUGGAGUUGGGGGCCAAAAUGCAAGUUCUACUGGUCUGGUCGGAAUACAUUCCGCCCAUUGUCAAAGACAUGGAACUUGUACAGCAGGAAAAGGAAGCUGUUUGGUGUCUGCAGAGUCUGCGAGUGCUAUGGGAAUCAUUUCCUUAAUGUGCUCUGCCAUGGCAGCAGGCAUGGAUCAUCAACUUGUUCCUGCAGGACGCAGUACAGUGGGUAAUGGAUACACUUGAACAAAAACUGACCUUUGUUUUGUAGUGUAUUGAACAAAGGAUUUGUAGUUAUAGGCCCUGUUUUAUUAGUAGAAAAAAAGUUAAUUUAGAAUGAGAGGGAAAGUUAUUAAA
rnacentral:lncRNA from 1 species